GAUGAACGCUGGCGGCGUGCCUAAUACAUGCAAGUCGAGCGAACGGACGAGAAGCUUGCUUCUCUGAUGUUAGCGGCGGACGGGUGAGUAACACGUGGAUAACCUACCUAUAAGACUGGGAUAACUUCGGGAAACCGUAGCUAAUACCGGAUAAUAUUUUGAACCGCUUGGUUCAAAAGUGAAAGACGGUCUUGCUGUCACUUAUAGAUGGAUCCGCGCUGCAUUAGCUAGUUGGUAAGGUAACGGCUUACCAAGGCAACGAUGCAUAGCCGACCUGAGAGGGUGAUCGGCCACACUGGAACUGAGACACGGUCCAGACUCCUACGGGAGGCAGCAGUAGGGAAUCUUCCGCAAUGGGCGAAAGCCUGACGGAGCCACGCCGCGUGAGUGAUGAAGGUCUUCGGAUCGUAAAACUCUGUUAUUGGGGAAGAACAUAUGUGUAAGUAACUGUGCACAUCUUGACGGUACCUAAUCAGAAAGCCACGGCUAACUACGUG
rnacentral:rRNA from 1 species